UGGCGGCGGCUUAACACAUGCAAGUCGAGCGGAGAUGAGGUGCUUGCACCUUAUCUUAGCGGCGGACGGGUGAGUAAUGCUUAGGAAUCUGCCUAUUAGUGGGGGACAACAUUCCGAAAGGAAUGCUAAUACCGCAUACGUCCUACGGGAGAAAGCAGGGGAUCUUCGGACCUUGCGCUAAUAAGAUGAGCCCUAAAGUUCGGAUUAGCUAGUUUGGUGGUGGUAAAAGGCCUACCAAGGCGACGAUCUGUAGCGGGGUCUGAGAGGAUGAUCCGCCACACUGGGACUGAGACACGGCCC
rnacentral:rRNA from 1 species